rnacentral:misc_RNA from 1 species
UUUCCGUAGGUGAACCUGCGGAAGGAUCAUUAUCGAGAACCGGCGCCCUCGUGGUUGCCGACCCUCAAACCACCGUGUACCAAACUUUAGCGUUGCCUCGGCGGGCCGGGCCCUCUUCUGGGGGGCCCCCCCAACCAACGGGAGCCGCUCGCCGCAGGACCACACAAGACUGUUUUCGUACGACGAACGUCUGAUAUCUUUCUUCGCGAAUGCGAUAAAGUACAACUUUUAACAAUGGAUCUCUUGGCUCCGGCAUCGAUGAAGAACGCAGC